rnacentral:tRNA from 1 species
CAAAGCGUAGCUUAUAUAAAGCAUCUGGCCUACACCCCGAAGAUUCCAUUCACUAAGGACGCUCUGA